rnacentral:rRNA from 1 species
UAACUGACGCUAAAGCUCGAAAGUGCGGGUAUCGAACAGGAUUAGAUACCCUGGUAGUCCGCACGGUAAACGAUGGAUGCCCGCUGUUUGCGAUAUAUUGUAAGCGGCCAAGCGAAAGCGUUAAGCAUCCCACCUGGGGAGUACGCCGGCAACGGUGAAACUCAAAGGAAUUGACGGGGGCCCGCACAAGCGGAGGAACAUGUGGUUUAAUUCGAUGAUACGCGAGGAACCUUACCCGGGCUUGAACUGCCGGCGAACGAUACAGAGAUGUUGAGGCCCUUCGGGGCGCCGGUGGAGGUGCUGCAUGGUUGUCGUCAGCUCGUGUCGUGAGGUGUCGGCUUAAGUGCCAUAACGAGCGCAACCCCUUUCUUCAGUUGCCAUCAGGUGAUGCUGGGCACUUUGGAGACACUGCCACCGUAAGGUGUGAGGAAGGUGGGGAUGACGUCAAAUCAGCACGGCCCUUACGUCCGGGGCUACACACGUGUUACAAUGGGUGAUACAGAGAGUUGGGUGCCGGCAACGUCGCUCUAAUCUUCAAAGUCAUCCUCAGUUCGGAUUGGGGUCUGCAACCCGACCCCAUGAAGCUGGAUUCGCUAGUAA